rnacentral:rRNA from 1 species
ACUGCUCAGUAACACGUGGAUAACCUGCCCUUGGGUCCGGCAUAACCCCGGGAAACUGGGGAUAAUUCCGGAUAACGUACAUAUGCUGGAAUGCUUUAUGCGUAAAAUGGAUUCGUCUGCCCAAGGAUGGGUCUGCGGCCUAUCAGGUAGUAGUGGGUGUAAUGUACCUACUAGCCAACAACGGGUACGGGUUGUGAGAGCAAGAGCCCGGAGAUGGAUUCUGAGACAUGAAUCCAGGCCCUACGGGGCGCAGCAGGCGCGAAAACUUUACAAUGCGGGAAACCGUGAUAAGGGGACACCGAGUGCCAGCAUCAUAUGCUGGCUGUCCAGGUGUGUAAAAUACACCUGUUAGCAAGGGCCGGGCAAGACCGGUGCCAGCCGCCGCGGUAACACCGGCGGCCCGAGUGGUGAUCGUGAUUAUUGGGUCUAAAGGGUCCGUAGCCGGUUUGGUCAGUCCUCCGGGAAAUCUGAUAGCUCAACUAUUAGGCUUUCGGGGGAUACUGCCAGGCUUGGAACCGGGAGAGGUAAGAGGUACUACAGGGGUAGGAGUGAAAUCUUGUAAUCCCUGUGGGACCACCUGUGGCGAAGGCGUCUUACCAGAACGGGUUCGACGGUGAGGGACGAAAGCUGGGGGCACGAACCGGAUUAGAUACCCGGGUAGUCCCAGCCGUAAACGAUGCUCGCUAGGUGUCAGGCAUGGCGCGACCGUGUCUGGUGCCGCAGGGAAGCCGUGAAGCGAGCCACCUGGGAAGUACGGCCGCAAGGCUGAAACUUAAAGGAAUUGGCGGGGGAGCAC